CGAGUCGACUGGAUGGUCGCUCCGCAUAGCGGGGAGGAAAGUCCGGGCUCCAUAGGGCAGAGUGCCAGGUAACGCCUGGGGGGCGCGAGCCUACGGCCAGUGCAACAGAGAGUAGACCGCCUAAGCUGCCUAGCAGCCGGUAAGGGUGAAAGGGUGCGGUAAGAGCGCACCGCGCAGCUGGUAACAGUUUGUGGCACGGUAAACCCCACUCGGAGCAAGAUCAAAUAGGGGAACAUUGGCGCGGCCCGCGUCGUUCCCGGGUAGAUCGCACGAGGUGCGCGGUGACGCGCAUCCCAGAUGAAUGACUGUCCACGACAGAACCCGGCUUAUAGGUUGGCUCAUCGA
rnacentral:RNase_P_RNA from 2 species